CCUACGUGCGGCAGCAGUGGGGAAUAUUGCACAAUGGGGGAAACCCUGAUGCAGCGACGCCGCGUGAAGGAAGAAGUAUUUCGGUAUGUAAACUUCUAUCAGCAGGGAAGAAAAUGACGGUACCUGACUAAGAAGCCCCGGCUAACUACGUGCCAGCAGCCGCGGUAAUACGUAGGGGGCAAGCGUUAUCCGGAUUUACUGGGUGUAAAGGGAGCGUAGGCGGCGAUGCAAGUCAGAAGUGAAAGCCCGGGGCUCAACUCCGGGACUGCUUUUGAAACUGUAUGGCUAGAGUGCAGGAGAGGCAAGUGGAAUUCCUAGUGUAGCGGUGAAAUGCGUAGAUAUUAGGAGGAACACCAGUGGCGAAGGCGGCUUGCUGGACUGUAAAUGACGCUGAGGCUCGAAAGCGUGGGGAGCGAACAGGAUUAGAUACCCUUGUAGUC
rnacentral:rRNA from 1 species